rnacentral:rRNA from 1 species
UACAGAGGUCUCAAGCGUUGUUCGGAUUCAUUGGGCGUAAAGGGUGCGUAGGCGGCGCGGUAAGUCGGGUGUGAAAUCUGGAGCUUAACUCCGAAACUGCAUUGAUACUGCGUGCUUGAGGACUGGAGAGGAGACUGGAAUUUACGGUGUAGCGUGAAAUGCGUAGAGAUCGUAAGGAAGACCAGUGGCGAAGGCGGGUCUCUGGACAGUUCCUGACGCUGAGGCACGAAGGCCAGGGGAGCAAACGGG